GUGCCAGCAGCCGCGGUAAUACGUAGGGUACAAGCGUUGUCCGGAAUUAUUGGGCGUAAAGAGCUCGUAGGUGGUUGGUCACGUCUGCUGUGGAAACGCAACGCUUAACGUUGCGCGUGCAGUGGGUACGGGCUGACUAGAGUGCAGUAGGGGAGUCUGGAAUUCCUGGUGUAGCGGUGAAAUGCGCAGAUAUCAGGAGGAACACCGGUGGCGAAGGCGGGACUCUGGGCUGUAACUGACGCUGAGGAGCGAAAGCAUGGGGAGCGAACAGGAUUAGAUACCCUGGUAGUCC
rnacentral:rRNA from 1 species